UACGUAGGGUGCAAGCGUUAAUCGGAAUUACUGGGCGUAAAGCGUGCGCAGGCGGUUAUGUAAGACAGUUGUGAAAUCCCCGGGCUCAACCUGGGAACUGCAUCUGUGACUGCAUAGCUAGAGUACGGUAGAGGGGGAUGGAAUUCCGCGUGUAGCAGUGAAAUGCGUAGAUAUGCGGAGGAACACCGAUGGCGAAGGCAAUCCCCUGGACCUGUACUGACGCUCAUGCACGAAAGGCGUGGGGAGCAAACAGGA
rnacentral:rRNA from 1 species